UUAAGCAUAUCAAUAAGCGGAGGAAAAGAAACCAACAGGGAUUGCCCCAGUAACGGCGAGUGAAGCGGCAACAGCUCAAAUUUGAAAUCUGGCCUUCUGGUCCGAGUUGUAAUUUGCAGAGGAUGCUUUUGGCGAGGUGCCUUCCGAGUUCCCUGGAACGGGACGCCAUAGAGGGUGAGAGCCCCGUCUGGUCGGACACCGAGCCUCUGUAAAGCUCCUUCGACGAGUCGAGUAGUUUGGGAAUGCUGCUCAAAAUGGGAGGUAUAUGUCUUCUAAAGCUAAAUAUUGGCCAGAGACCGAUAGCGCACAAGUAGAGUGAUCGAAAGAUGAAAAGCACUUUGAAAAGAGGGUUAAAAAGUACGUGAAAUUGUUGAAAGGGAAGCGCCUAUGACCAGACUUGGGCCCGGUGAAUCACCCAGCGUUCUCGCUGGGGCACUUUGCCGGGCACAGGCCAGCAUCAGUUUGGCGCGGGGGAGAAAGGCUUCGGGAAUGUGGCUCCCUCGGGAGUGUUAUAGCCCGCUGCGUAAUACCCUGCGCCGGACUGAGGUACGCGCAUUGCAAGGAUGCUGGCGUAAUGGUCAUCAGCGACCCGUCUUGAAACACGGACCAAGGAGUCGUCUUCGUAUGCGAGUGUUCGGGUGUCAAACCCCUACGCGUAAUGAAAGUGAACGCAGGUGAGAGCUUCGGCGCAUCAUCGACCGAUCCUGAUGUUCUCGGAUGGAUUUGAGUAAGAGCAUACGGGGCCGGACCCGAAAGAAGGUGAACUAUGCCUGUAUAGGGUGAAGCCAGAGGAAACUCUGGUGGAGGCUCGCAGCGGUUCUGACGUGCGAAUCGAUCGUCAAAUAUGGGCAUGGGGGCGAAAGACUAAUCGAACCUUCUAGUAGCUGGUUUCCGCCGAAG
rnacentral:rRNA from 1 species